UGAGGAAUAUUGCGCAAUGGGGGCAACCCUGACGCAGCGACGCCGCGUGAGUGAGGAAGGCCUUCGGGUCGUAAAGCUCUGUCAAAGGGAAAGAAGUGCAUGGUGGCUAAUACCUGCCAUGUUUGACGGUACCCUUAAAGGAAGCACCGGCUAACUCCGUGCCAGCAGCCGCGGUAAUACGGAGGGUGCAAGCGUUGUUCGGAAUUACUGGGCGUAAAGGGCGCGUAGGCGGUUUUAUAAGUCAGAUGUGAAAGCCCACGGCUUAACUGUGGAAGUGCAUUUGAAACUGUGAGACUGGAGUACCAGAGGGGAAAGUGGAAUUGCCGGUGUAGAGGUGAAAUUCGUAGAUAUCGGGAGGAAUACCGGUGGCGAAGGCGACUUUCUGGCUGGAUACUGACGCUGAGGCGCGAAAGCGUGGGGAGCAAACA
rnacentral:rRNA from 1 species